GUUCAUAUAAAGACUUUUAUCUCAUUAUAAUCUAUUUUUUAAAAAAUAAUAUUUAACUAUAAAAAUUGCUGGUUCGAAAUCGAAUCUCAUACCGAUUACCGAUAGUAUGAGUCGAUACAUCUCCAUAUCAGAUCGUACCGGAUCUGAAUUGAUAUAGAAUGGGAAAUGAAUCGGAAAGAAAAAGAAGAGAGAGAGAGAGGAA
rnacentral:lncRNA from 1 species